rnacentral:rRNA from 1 species
CGUCAAGUCCUCAUGGCCUUUAUGUCUAGGGCUACACACGUACUACAAUGGCCGGUACAAAGGGCAGCCACUCAGCGAUGAGGCGCUAAUCCCAUAAAGCCGGUCUCAGUCCGGAUCGCAGUCUGCAACUCGACUGCGUGAAGUUGGAAUCGCUAGUAAUCGCGGAUCAGCAUGCCGCGGUCGAAUACGUUCCCGGGCCUU